UCAUACGUACGCAGAUCUGCCCCAAAGGCUAAUCACCCUAGUACACGGCCCAAAGCCUAUGUGUGUACGAGAGUGGGUUCCAAAGACCUCUGAUAAUCUGGUCAUACACUAUGGAAACACAUUCACGAUAGUGUAGAGAAGUAAAAUCACCAUAACUAAUCAUACACUGUGGAAACACAUUCACACCAGUGCAAACUGGGGUAAAAUCACCUGGGUACUUUCUGAUGAUUUUUAUAAAUAACUUUAACUAUACUGAAACAUGUAAUAAGAAUAUAACAUGCUACUAAAAUAAUUUAACUGAACUGAAUUUAACUUUAAAAGCAGUUGAUAAUAAAAUUCAUUUUAUUCUGAAAAUCAUGCUAUGAAGUCAAUUUUAUAAAAUAAAUAACUUUAAAAUUUAAAGAAGAUUUAUUUCUGAAAAAUAAGUUUUAUCCACUCACCAAGUAAUAGUCGACCAUGGUUUGAAUCUUUUUAUCACCGCUUGAACUUCAAAUAUCAAGUAUGAUAUUACGCACUCGCUCUAGUAAAUCAUAUUCCCUUACCAAAAUGCUUUGAGUAUUUUCCUACCAUUUGAAAUAUUAAUUUACCAAUGGGAACAUGAUAUAUUUUAUUUUCAACCUCGUAAUCCCAAUUAAAGUCACUAACAACAUGUACUCCUUUAUAAAUUAUUUAAACACCAAAACUCCAAAUAAUUAACACUUAAUUUGGUUAGAAUACUAGAAAUCCAAGAAAAUUAUAUGAUUGACAAAACUAGCACUAUAAUUCCAGAAUAUUGAAAACUGGCACCAAUGUCUAUUUAUUGAAAUCUUCACCAAAAAAUUGACAAAACUAGCACUUUUCUAGGCAGGAUUUCAAAAGCAGCAUCUGUGUAGGAUUUGUCCAAAAAUUGCUCAUAAUUAUUACUUAAAAAUGGAGAAAUCAACCCCAAUUCCAUAAUUUAAGUGAUUAACAUCACAUAAUCCAAAGAAAAUCAAAGAAUAAGCACCUAUUUCACAAAUUCAUUUUCAAAGUUUCCCUCCUUUUCUUUUCUUUCUUUUAUUUUUUUCCAACACCAAUCUUUCAAUUAAUAUUUUUUUUUUUUACAGAUUCAUGUUUAAUACCUCAAAUAAAUGUCAAAAACCUUUAAUUCUAGCUAACUUCGAAUAUGACCAAAUUUUCCAUAAACCCUAAAAGAAAACUUAACUCAAUAUACUUACACUUACCUCUCAAAAUCAAAUGAGAAAUUGAAGAAAUGGAACACCCCAAAAUUGAAAACCCACUUCUUCUUCUUCUUCAUUUUUUUCUUCCUCCCUCUUUCUCGGUUCUUCUCAGUUUCAC
rnacentral:lncRNA from 1 species